rnacentral:sRNA from 1 species
AAAAGAAAAACUCAGAUAAAAAGCGCCGCGUCCUGCGGCAAUACCUGAGUGACCGGGCUUCUACAGG